rnacentral:rRNA from 1 species
GACGAACGCUGGCGGCGUGCCUAAUACAUGCAAGUAGAACGCUGAAGGAGGAGCUUACUUCUCUGGAUGAGUUACGAACGGGUGAGUAACGCGUAGGUAACCUGCCUGGUAGCGGGGGAUAACUAUUGGAAACGAUAGCUAAUACCGCAUAAGAGUAGAUGUUGCAUGACAUUUACUUAAAAGGUGCAAUUGCACCACUACCAGAUGGACCUGCGUUGUAUUAGCUAGUUGGUGGGGUAACGGCUUACCAAGGCGACGAUACAUAGCCGAACUGAGAGGGUGAUCGGCCACACUGGGACUGAGACACGGCCCAGACUCCUACGGGAGGCAGCAGUAGGGAAUCUUCGGCAAUGGACGGAAGUCUGACCGAGCAACGCCGCGUGAGUGAAGAAGGUUUUCGGAUCGUAAAGCUCUGUUGUAAGAGAAGAACGAGUGUGAGAGUGGAAAGUUCACACUGUGACGGUAUCUUACCAGAAAGGGACGGCUAACUACGUGCCAGCCGCCGCAGUAA